rnacentral:rRNA from 1 species
UACGUAGGUGGCUAGCGUUGUCCGGAUUUACUGGGCGUAAAGAGCGCGCAGGCGGUCGUUCAAGUCGAGUGUGAAAGCCCCCGGCUCAACUGGGGAGGGUCACUCGAUACUGAUCGACUUGAAGGCGGGAGAGGGAAGCGGAAUUCCCGGUGUAGUGGUGAAAUGCGUAGAUAUGUGGAGGAACACCAGUGGCGAAGGCGACUCUUUGGCCUGUAACUGACACUGAGGCGCGAAAGCGUGGGGAGCAAACAGG